AUCGAAUUAUCAAGAAAUCUCUCUGGUGCAUUCUAAAUCCUCUUGGGUCCCUUCCAAUUGCCUAAGCAUUCACCAAAAUUCAUGGACGGUGUAACAUUAGUGUCUCUGUAAUGACCGACCUUAGGUACUUCAAUU